rnacentral:rRNA from 1 species
AUUGAACGCUGGCGGCAGGCCUAACACAUGCAAGUCGAGCGGAGCGGCGGACGGGUGAGUAAUGCCUAGGACUCUGCCUGGGAGUGGGGGAUAACGUCCGGAAACGGGCGCUAAUACCACAUACUAUCAGAUUAGCCUGGGUCGGAUUAGCUAGUUGGUGGGGUAAAGGCCUACCAAGGCGAAGAUCCGUAACUGGUCUGAGAGGAUGAUCAGUCACACUGGAACUGAGACACGGUCCAGACUCCUACGGGAGGCAGCAGUGGGGAAUAUUGGACAAGGGGCGAAAGCCUGAUCCAGCCAUGCCGCGUGUGUGAAGAAGGUCUGCGGAUUGUAAAGUACUUUAAGUUGGGAGGCGUUACCCACAGAAUAAGCACCGGCUAACUCCGUGCCAGCAGCCGCGGUAAUAC